GUAGUGGCUGGAAUAGCCAGAUCAGCGCUAACAUCCUAGUCUUAUUUUUUUCCGCUCAGUAUGGAAGAUUCUUUCAACUUCGCUUCAGUGGUCUGUUCCACUGGCCCAUCCCUUCCUUCAGCUCAUCAUGGACCUACCUAUCCCAAAAGCCCACCUUCUAUAUGUAGAAUCUAAAGGUCUUAUGGCUGCUCCGAUCCAAAGCUCACAUCUCUCUCCACAACACAGGGGCUUCACCCUGCUCUGCAAGGAAACACCUUCCUGACCUGAGAUGGAGAGCAUACCUAAGAAUUGGCUUGAAGAACUUCAGUUUGAUGAUGGUUUCCUGAGUCCGUGUCACACACCAGGCUCUGUGGCGUGCUCUGGAGUUCAGCCGUGAAAACACAGGAAACGCCUUGCUCUGGAAGCUCAGAUUCCAGUUGAAGAAUCAGGCAACAGAUGGAAAGAAAGACAUAGGCAUACGCCUCUGUUGAUGGCCUGGGCUUUAACACCCUCAUCCUAGCUGCU